rnacentral:rRNA from 1 species
AACGAACGCUGGCGGCAUGCCUAACACAUGCAAGUCGAACGAAGCCUUCGGGCUUAGUGGCGCACGGGUGCGUAACGCGUGGGAAUCUGCCCUUGGGUUCGGAAUAACAGUUAGAAAUGACUGCUAAUACCGGAUGAUGUCUUCGGACCAAAGAUUUAUCGCCCAAGGAUGAGCCCGCGUAGGAUUAGGGAGUUGGGGGGGUAAUGGCCCACCAAGCCGACGAUCCUUAGCUGGUCUGGGGGGAUGAUCAGCCACACUGGGACUGGGACACGGCCCAGACUCCUACGGGAGGCAGCAGGGGGGGAAUAUUGGACAAUGGGCGAAAGCCUGAUCCAGCAAUGCCGCGUGAGUGAUGAAGGCCUUAGGGUUGUAAAGCUCUUUUACCAGGGAUGAUAAUGACAGUACCUGGAGAAUAAGCUCCGGCUAACUCCGUGCCAGCAGCCGCCGUAA